UACGUAGGGUGCAAGCGUUAAUCGGAAUUACUGGGCGUAAAGCGUGCGCAGGCGGUUUUGUAAGUUUGUCGUGAAAGCCCCGGGCUCAACCUGGGAAUUGCGAUGAAGACUGCAAGGCUUGAAUCUGGCAGAGGGGGGUAGAAUUCCACGUGUAGCAGUGAAAUGCGUAGAGAUGUGGAGGAACACCGAUGGCGAAGGCAGCCCCCUGGGUCAAGAUUGACGCUCAUGCACGAAAGCGUGGGGAGCGAUCCGG
rnacentral:rRNA from 1 species